GUUUGAUCCUGGCUCAGGAUGAACGCUGGCGGCGUGCCUAAUACAUGCAAGUCGAGCGAACGGACGAGAAGCUUGCUUCUCUGAUGUUAGCGGCGGACGGGUGAGUAACACGUGGAUAACCUACCUAUAAGACUGGGAUAACUUCGGGAAACCGGAGCUAAUACCGGAUAAUAUUUUGAACCGCAUGGUUCAAAAGUGAAAGACGGUCUUGCUGUCACUUAUAGAUGGAUCCGCGCUGCAUUAGCUAGUUGGUAAGGUAACGGCUUACCAAGGCAACGAUGCAUAGCCGACCUGAGAGGGUGAUCGGCCACACUGGAACUGAGACACGGUCCAGACUCCUACGGGAGGCAGCAGUAGGGAAUCUUCCGCAAUGGGCGAAAGCCUGACGGAGCAACGCCGCGUGAGUGAUGAAGGUCUUCGGAUCGUAAAACUCUGUUAUUAGGGAAGAACAUAUGUGUAAGUAACUGUGCACAUCUUGACGGUACCUAAUCAGAAAGCCACGGCUAACUACGUGCCAGCAGCCGCGGUAAUACGUAGGUGGCAAGCGUUAUCCGGAAUUAUUGGGCGUAAAGCGCGCGUAGGCGGUUUUUUAAGUCUGAUGUGAAAGCCCACGGCUCAACCGUGGAGGGUCAUUGGAAACUGGAAAACUUGAGUGCAGAAGAGGAAAGUGGAAUUCCAUGUGUAGCGGUGAAAUGCGCAGAGAUAUGGAGGAACACCAGUGGCGAAGGCGACUUUCUGGUCUGUAACUGACGCUGAUGUGCGAAAGCGUGGGGAUCAAACAGGAUUAGAUACCCUGGUAGUCCACGCCGUAAACGAUGAGUGCUAAGUGUUAGGGGGUUUCCGCCCCUUAGUGCUGCAGCUAACGCAUUAAGCACUCCGCCUGGGGAGUACGACCGCAAGGUUGAAACUCAAAGGAAUUGACGGGGACCCGCACAAGCGGUGGAGCAUGUGGUUUAAUUCGAAGCAACGCGAAGAACCUUACCAAAUCUUGACAUCCUUUGACAACUCUAGAGAUAGAGCNUUCCCCUUCGGGGGACAAAGUGACAGGUGGUGCAUGGUUGUCGUCAGCUCGUGUCGUGAGAUGUUGGGUUAAGUCCCGCAACGAGCGCAACCCUUAAGCUUAGUUGCCAUCAUUAAGUUGGGCACUCUAAGUUGACUGCCGGUGACAAACCGGAGGAAGGUGGGG
rnacentral:rRNA from 1 species